rnacentral:rRNA from 1 species
UACGGAGGUCCCAAGCGUUGUUCGGAUUUACUGGGCGUAAAGGGUGCGUAGGUGGUGAGGUAAGUCUGAUGUGAAAUCUCCGAGCUUAACUCGGAAAUGGCAUUGGAAACUACCUUGCUAGAGGGUUGGAGGGGGGACUGGAAUACUUGGUGUAGCAGUGAAAUGCGUAGAUAUCAAGUGGAACACCAGUGGCGAAGGCGAGUCCCUGGACAACACCUGACACUGAGGCACGAAAGCUAGGGGAGCAAACAGG